rnacentral:rRNA from 1 species
GGACGAAAGUCUGACGGAGCAACGCCGCGUGAGUGAAGAAGGUUUUCGGAUCGUAAAACUCUGUUUUCAGGGACGAAUGUGCUAUUUGUGAAUAAUGAGUAGUAAUGACGGUACCUGACAAGAAAGCCACGGCUAACUACGUGCCAGCAGCCGCGGUAAUACGUAGGUGGCAAGCGUUGUCCGGAAUUAUUGGGCGUAAAGCGCGCGCAGGUGGGAUAAUAAGUCUGGUGUUAAAGUUCGGGGCUCAACCCCGUGAAGCAUUGGAAACUAUUAUUCUUGAGUGCAGGAGAGGAAAGUGGAAUUCCUAGUGUAGCGGUGAAAUGCGUAGAUAUUAGGAGGAACACCAGUGGCGAAGGCGACUUUCUGGACUGUGUCUGACACUGAGGCGCGAAAGCCAGGGUAGUGAACGGGAUUAGAUACCCCGGUAAUCCUGGCCGUAAACGAUGGGUACUAGGUGUUGGGGGUAUCGACCCCUCCAGUGCCGGAGUUAACGCAAUAAGUACCCCGCCUGGGGAGUACGG